AUUUACUGUCGAUUAACUACCUGUUGCUGCACGCGCGAUAGCGCUUUGUGAAACCAUGCACCUGUAUAUAUACGACAGUUCUUACUUUGUUAACUGUUUGACAGUAAAUCCUUUCUCCCCCGAAAUCAAGUCCCCAUAUCACAAAGUAUCCUUUGCAUACAUCUCGUCUCUCUACACAUUCUAAACAAAAACGUUUUCUCAUAAAAAUGACAGUUUCCCAUCACAGUAUAUCCUCAACUAACACGUAUUCGGUUUUCAACCCUGAGGCUAAGACCCCGAGGAAGACCGGAAGUCCACGAAUUGAAUUAUCUGAAUUGAAACCAAACGUGAAUUUUAAAAAUU